CCAGACUCCUACGGGAGGCUGCAGUGGGGAAUAUUGGACAAUGGGCGAAAGCCUGAUCCAGCCAUGCGGCGUGUGUAAAGAAGGCCUUUUGGUUGUAAAGCACUUUAAGCGAGGAGGAGGCUACUUGGAUUAAUACUCUAGGAUAGUGGACGUUACUCGCAGAAUAAGCACCGGCUAACUCUGUGCCAGCAGCCGCGGUAAUACAGAGGGUGCGAGCGUUAAUCGGAUUUACUGGGCGUAAAGCGUGCGUAGGCGGCUUUUUAAGUCGGAAGUGGAAUCUCUGAGCUUAAUUAGGAAUUGCAUUCGAUACUGGGAAGCUAGAGUAUGGGAGAGGAUGGUAGAAUUCCAGGUGUAGCGGUGGAAUGCGUAGAGAUCUGGAGGAAUACCGAUGGCGAAGGCAGCCAUCU
rnacentral:rRNA from 1 species